GAUGAACGCUGGCGGCGUGCCUAAUACAUGCAAGUCGAGCGAACGGACGAGAAGCUUGCUUCUCUGAUGUUAGCGGCGGACGGGUGAGUAACACGUGGAUAACCUACCUAUAAGACUGGGAUAACUUCGGGAAACCGGAGCUAAUACCGGAUGAUAUCUUGAACCGCAUGGUUCAAAAGUGAAAGACGGUCUUGCUGUCACUUAUAGAUGGAUCCGCGCUGCAUUAGCUAGUUGGUAAGGUAACGGCUUACCAAGGCAACGAUGCAUAGCCGACCUGAGAGGGUGAUCGGCCACACUGGAACGUAGACACGGUCCAUACUCCUACGGGAGGCAGCAGUAGGGAAUCUUCCGCAAUGGGCGAAAGCCUGACGGAGCAACGCCGCGUGAGUGAUGAAGGUCUUCGGAUCGUAAAACUCUGUUAUUAGGGAAGAACAUAUGUGUAAGUAACUGUGCACAUCUUGACGGUACCUAAUCAGAAAGCCACGGCUAACUACGUG
rnacentral:rRNA from 1 species